CCGGGAGUGCCCCCCGGGGGCCUCCCGCGGGUGCGGCGGUGCCGAGCUGCCCGGUCAGAGGGGUCUGUGGGGGCAGCGCUGCCCCCCGGGCGUGAGGGAGGGCGCGCGCGCCCAUGGGCGGGAAACCCUCCUGAGGGAGCGGCCGGCAGGGACACCCCACAACACGCACAAUUCCGGUUAAAAGCGGUGUUCCCUCACAGAGCGCGUGCAAUAUGCGUUAAAAGGCAACCUCCCGACCCCCCCUUUUAAAAAGUAAACUGUCGGGGCGUCGCUGAAAGUGCCGGAAAAUAAAUUAGUACAAGUGCGGUGGUGAAACCGCAACGCGCAGAAUUCCAGUUGAAGGUGAUGUCCUGGGAAUGACCGGACGUGGCACUCGGUGCCCUGGUGUAGACAAGGUGGUGGUCGGUCAAAGGUUGAAUUCGAUGGUCUCAGAGGUCUUUUCCAACCUAAAUAAUUCUGGGGUUCCGUGUUCUUCCAUCCAGUUCAUUCACACUGGACCCUGUGCAUUCAAAGCAAGAUUCCUGUGAGCGUCUCAAGUGCUGUGGCCUUGAGAGUAAAGAAAAUGAAGACAAUCCAGGCAGACUGAGAAUUUAAGAACAGUGGUGCUGGCGGGGGAGAAGUGCCUGGGGUUACAGCAGAAGGUUCGUGUGGUUAUUCCUGGAGAACAGAACGGCCUUUCCGAAAAACAAGAUGCAUUGCCCUGGCAUUUUCCUCAGUGGAGCUUCCCUUCAGGUAUUUUAUGCUUGGACAUGUCAUUUGAUUUAUUUCGGGCACGUUUAAAAGUUUGCUCUCAGGAGCAAAGUGAAGUAUUUUUUUAAUUUAUUUUUUCAGAUUUCCAGAAAACUGAAAAUUGAUCUGUUCUUGCUACUUCCAUUAGGAAUAAAACAGGGUUACAGCCAAAAUGCCCAGCUGAGGAGAGAAACAGAGUAGAAAAGGGAACCUUAAGGACAGAGCAAGGAGCUGCAAGACAGAACACAACCUCCAGUUGUGUGGGUUGACAUCCAGAUACUGGGGAGCUAAAUUCAUUAAAAUAAAUCCUAGUAUUCCUCACUGUGGAACUACUUCACUCUGCACUCAGUAAGGAUCCAGCCUUAUACCUGUUGGGGUUUUUUGGAAGCCUCUCACUGAGUGUUCUAGAAAAAUCAUUUCAAUUUUAUUCCACAUCCUGGGGCUCUGUGCAAACUGCACAAUUCUUCCUGUGUUUGAUCUCCUAAGUUACUGACUAAUGAAUAGGACAUUUUCAGAGAGGAAAGUGGGGCUUAAUUAAGAGAUUACUCUUGAGAGGAUGUCUGUACAAAUGAGGAAUUGCAAAAAUUCUGAAAUGACAGCCUUUGCACAUCUACCCAUGUAUUUUGCUGUUUUUAUGGACCCUGGUGAGCAGCAGCACCCACAGAAAACCAGAACAUGACUUAACAAAUCAAAUGCUCAGA